rnacentral:rRNA from 1 species
GCCGAACUCUUUCUUCGUGCUUAACACAUGCAAGUCGAACGAUGAACCCGGAGCUUGCUCUGGGGGAUUAGUGGCGAACGGGUGAGUAACACGUGAGUAACCUGCCCUGGACUCUGGGAUAAGCGUUGGAAACGACGUCUAAUGCCGGAUAGGACCUUGGAUCGCAUGAUCUGGGGUGGAAAGUUUUUUCGGUCUGGGAUGGACUCGCGGCCUAUCAGCUUGUUGGUGAGGUAAUGGCUCACCAAGGCGUCGACGGGUAGCCGGCCUGAGAGGGUGACCGGCCACACUGGGACUGAGACACGGACCAGACUCCUACGGGAGGCAGCAGUGGGGAAUAUUGCACAAUGGGCGAAAGCCUGAUGCAGCAACGCCGCGUGCGGGAUGACGGCCUUCGGGUUGUAAACCGCUUUUAGUAGGGAAGAAGGGCUUCGGCUUGACGGUACCUGCAGAAAAAGGACCGGCUAACUACGUG